rnacentral:misc_RNA from 1 species
CGCACAUUGCGCCCCUUGGUAUUCCGAGGGGCAUGCCUGUUCGAGCGUCAUUACACCAAUCAAGCCCCGCUUGGUAUUGGGUGCCAUGGCCCGCGCCACUGUCGCGGGCCCACCCCAAAGUCAUCGGCGAGGACGAAGACCCCCGGCGUGUUAGAAUUCUUUCACGAGAAGACGUCGGGAGCACCCUCGGACUCCGCCGCUAAAGAACCCUCACAAAGGUUGACCUCGGAUCAGGUAGGAAUACCCGCUGAACUUAA